rnacentral:rRNA from 1 species
UACGUAGGGUCCGAGCGUUGUUCCGGAAUUAUUUGGGCGGUAAAGGGCUCGUAGGCGGUUCGUCACGGUCGGGAGUGAAAACUCGGAGCUUAACUCCGAGCCUGCUUCCGAUACGGGCAGACUAGAGGUAGGCAGGGGAGAGCGGAACUCCUGGUGUAGCGGUGGAAUGCGCAGAUAUCAGGAGGAACACCGGUGGCGAAGGCGGGUCUCUGGGCAGUAACUGACGCUGGAGGAGCGAAAGCGUGGGGAGCGAACAGG